rnacentral:rRNA from 1 species
AAGCUCGUAGUUGAAUUUCGGACCGGGCUGGGUGGUCUUGCCGCAAGGUAAGCACUGCUCUGGUCUGGUCUUUCUUUCUGGAGCUCUCCCGUGCUCUUAAUUGAGUGCGAGAGGUGAUCCAGGACUUUUACUUUGAAAAAAUUAGAGUGUUUAAAGCAGGCUUACGCUUGAAUACAUUAGCAUGGAAUAAUAGAAUAGGACUUUGGUUCUAUUUUGUUGGUUUCUAGGACCGAAGUAAUGAUUAAUAGGGAUAGUUGGGGGCAUUAGUAUUUAAUUGUCAGAGGUGAAAUUCUUGGAUUUAUGAAAGACUAACUUCUGCGAAAGCAUUUGCCAAGGAUGUUUUCAUUAAUCAAGAACGAAAGUUAGGGGAUCGAAGACGAUCAGAUACCGUCGUAGUCUUAACCAUAAACUAUGCCGACUAGGGAUCGGACAACGUUAUUUUAUUGACUUGUUCGGCACCUUAUGAGAAAUCAAAGUUUUUGGGUUCCGGGGGGAGUAUGGUCGCAAGGCUGAAACUUAAAGGAAUUGACGGAAGGGCACCACCAGGAGUGGAGCCUGCGGCUUAAUUUGACCCAACACGGGAAAA